CCUACGGGAGGCAGCAGUGAGGAAUAUUGGUCAAUGGACGAAAGUCUGAACCAGCCAUGCCGCGUGCAGGAUGACGGCUCUAUGAGUUGUAAACUGCUUUUGUCUUAGGGUAAAUACCACUCCGUGUAGGGGCUUGAAAGUAUAAUACGAAUAAGGAUCGGGCAACUUCGUGCCAGCAGCCGCGGUAAUACGGAGGAUCCAAGCGUUAUCCGGAUUUAUUGGGUUUAACGGGUGCGUAGGCGGUUUGAUAAGUUAGAUGUGAAAUACCCGUGCUCAACACGGGAACUGCAUCUAAUACUGGUUAACUAGAGAGUAGUGGCGGUAGGCAGAAGGUAAGGUGUAGCGGUGAAAUGCGUAGAGAUGAUACAGAACACCGAUGGCGAAGGCAGCUUACCAAACUAUGACUGACGUUGAGGUACGAAAGCGUGGGUAGCAAACAGGAUUAGAUACCCCUGUAGUC
rnacentral:rRNA from 1 species